rnacentral:rRNA from 1 species
UUCGCAAUGCCCGAAAGGGUGACAAUGCGACGCCGCGUGAGCGAUGAAGGCCUUCGGGUUGUAAAGCCCUGUCAGGAGUUAAGAAAUGUAGACUCGCUAAUAUCGGGUCUAUUUGACAAAGGCUCCAAAGGAAGCCACGGCUAACUCUGUGCCAGCAGCCGCGGUAAUACAGAGGUGGCAAGCGUUGUUCGGAAUUAUUGGGCGUAAAGAGCACGUAGGUGGAUUUGUAAGUCAGACGUGAAAGCCUUCUGUUCAACGGAAGAAUUGCAUCUGAAACUACAAACCUUGAGUGUAGGAGGGGAGAAUGGAACUUCUGGUGGAGCGGUGAAAUGCGUAGAUAUCAGAAGGAACGCCGGCGGCGAAAGCGAUUCUCUGGCCUAUUACUGACACUCAGUGUGCGAAAGCUAGGGGAGCAAACGGGAUUAGAUACCCCGGUAGUCCUAGCCGUAAACGAUGGGCACUAAGUAGAGGGGUUUU